CUGAUUCCACGAUCUCCAGACGGAGCUCAUCAUUUGAGAAACUGGGUGAAUUAUCAUUUAUAUCCAAUAUCUCAACUUCAGCGCUGUAGAGUUCCACUGGAUUUUCGAUGAUAAUGUUAUUAGUAAGCAUGCAUCUAGCGUUUUGUCCACAGAGUUUCUCUCUGUCUAUCUUAACAUUCACGCGCAACUCUCCAUUAUCCAAGUUUACCUUAAAAUACCGUUCAUUGGCCUCAGGCAUUAACCGAAGCUUGCGAUUAGCUAAUUCGUUCACAUCUAAGCCUAAAUCCCUGGCAACAUUCCCAACAAAGGCUCCGUGCUCCAGUUCUUCAGGAAUUGAAUAACGGAUCUGUCCAGAGACAUUUUCCCAACUACAAAGCAGGAAAAUAAAAGACCACACUAGCAUUCUCUGUCUGAAUUAGUCUUCGCAUUCGGAGUGCUGUAGGAAUCCAAGGCGCCAACCACUUGUUUGAUCCAAAAUGUCGAGACGAAUACUUGAUAUCCGUUUCUAAUAGUUGAGAAAGACUGCAUGGAAAAGAUGGCUGUUGAAUGUGAAUGUAAACACCGAGUCAGUGCUUUCCCUUCUUUCCGAUUCUUCGCUGUACGUGGUGUAAGGGGGAGGAGAGAUGGAUCUCCAGCUGUAUUUGAGUACCUCAUUGGUACACAGCGACACAAAGAGUCUCGGCCAAUUAUUGCACGGUACAGUCGUGGACUGCGUCAACAGUGUGGAAGGAAGUUGUCAUUUGGCAUGCAGUUCAUUAAUAGUUAAGAAAUAAAAGAGGUGUGGGUGUGUGUACGUUACACGAAAUCCGACCAACUAUUGUAAAGCAAGGCUUUUUGUUUUAGUAUUUUAAUAGUGUUACACGUAUUUACGACCUGUGCAGUGGAAAUCAUUCCCGCCACCGUGUUCGUCAGUUCCUGAAAAACACAAUGGCGAAGAUAAAACUCCCCAGAAAUGUUAUUUUCCUCUUGGAAGAGUGGUGUUUCAUUUUUUUUAACUGCAACACUCCUUGCGGUGUAACUGUUGUGAAGACACAGUGGCAUACAUUCAUAUCAAACUGCUGUGUACCAUGGCAAGGAACUUGCAGAAUCAUUGAAGUAUACAGAUGAAAACAGGCCCUGCAGUCAACUCGUCCAAUGCCGACGAUGUUUCAUAAACUAAGCCAGUCCCCUUUGCCUGAGUUGACCCCUAUCUCUCUAAACAUUACCUGUCCACGUAUCUGUUCAAAUGUCUUUUAAAUUUUGUGAUUGUACCUGCCUCUACUACUUCAUCUGGCAGCUUGUUCCAUAGACAUUCUACUCCCAAUGUGAAAAUGUUGCCCUUCAAGUCCUUUUGUCAUCUUUAUCCUCUCACCUUCAGCCUAUGCCCUCUAGACUCCCCUACCCUGGGAAAUAGACCUUGACUUAUCUGUGCCUCUCAUGAUUUUCUAAACCUCUACAAGGUCACCCCCAGCUUCCUGUGCUCGAGAGAAAAAUAGUCCCAGCCUAUCCACCCUCUUUAUAAUUCAAACCUUCCAGCCUUGGUUACAUUUUGUAAAUCAUUUUUUGCACCAUUCCCAGUAUAAUAUCAACCUUCCUAAAGCAGGACAAACAGAAUUUAUGUAGUUCUCCAAAUGUGGCCUUACUAAUGUCUCGUACAGUGAUAAUGUGACAUUGCAAAUCCUGUACUUAAUGCUCUGACUGAUGAAAUGGAUUCAAGCAGAUUUAAAGUUUUAAAGUUUAGUGUCUGGUUUUAAAGUAGAUUUUAAUUUCACGGUGUGUCUUGUUGGGAUUCUAAUUCAUAUCCCAGGAACCUUAGUCUGGGACCCUGGAUUACUUGUUCAAUGACUAUAUCACUUGAUUUUGCAAAUUUAAAGUUUACUAUGAAGUUAAUUGCAUUGUCAUUUUUUUAUUUCUGUUGUUGAUGAUCACUCAAAGAUUUUAAUUGAUACUUUUUGUAUUUUGUUCACCCAUUACUGCAUGCCAUGGCAUGAUCUGUUUUGUACUUCAAAGCUUUCAGUGUUUUUGGAACAUAGUUUUUUUUAAGUGCAAACAAAAUGCACUAUCCGUUACUGGUCUUGGUAUACCUAGGGAUAAAUCUGAAACAGGCUCAAUAGUGAUCUUAGUAGAAUCAAUGCAUUAUAGCAAAUCAAAAAAUCUACUAAACAGUGGGUUGUAGAUCAGAGAUGGUCACAAGGCCUUGUCACUUCUUGAAACUGCAUUCAGUUCAGAAACAUCAAAAUUUUAGAGGUAUGAAAAUUAUCAAUAAGCUUUUUAAAGGCCUAGUACUACCGGGGUCAUCAUUGAAGGUAAUUGUGUUUAAACAUAGAGAGGGCAGAGUUGGGGCAAGGAGUAGGUGGGACCUGUGUAUUUAUAAAAUUUCAGCAGAAUUCAUUGAAUAUUGAAUACUUUAACUGGCUACCCACCACUGCCAGAUUGGUAACAAUUGAAGCUGUAAUCCUCCUCUCCUUGAAAAAGGCCAAAGAGAUGGUAGCACAUCAGAGGCCCCAACUGAAAUUCCCUCUUUCACCACUUCCCCCUCCACCCACUCCCCGUCCUUCCAUUCCCAAACUUCCUACCUAUAAAAUCUCCCCAGAAAAAUUCCAGCCCCUGAUACUGUUGGACCAAAACAGAAAAACAGAAUAUUGCCAGAACAUAAAUUGCUCCCCCUACCUGAUCUGACCUGUACAUGAUUCCAUUAACCAAGGGCGGUGGAUUAUAUCUGCUGUCUGAAGUGACCCAACAAGCAAUUUCAAUGUACCAACAUUUAUGUCAGACAGUAAAAGUGAUCAUGAAUGUUUUAGAUUCUGAUCUAAAAAGACAAUUGAUUAUUAAUGUCUCUGGGGACAGAUUGGUCUGAUUUGUAAUGACUGCAAUCCCACAUCAUCAUGAUUGUUUUUUGACUGUACUCUUUGAAGUGGCUGAACAAAACAUAUGAAUCUCAUAGCACUGGGGAUGAACAAUAAAGCAAUGUAGACAUCAAUUUAAUUAGUCAUAUUUAAAUGAUCUCAUAAAUGUGUUAAAAUGUCGAGGUUUUGACAGAUCCUGAAAUUGCUUCUAGUAUUUAUGGAACCAAAAAGGUAUCAAUUCCUUUCUAUACUGAUAUCAAUUGGUGCAGAAACUAGGUGGGAUUUGUGCUUGUACCAUGUAUCUCUAUGAAAUGUUGGAACAUAUUUGUAAUUAAUUUGUGGGGAAAUUCUGUGUUUUUUUAAUGAUGUAGAGUUCAUUUCUCAAUUUUGCCUGAAUUUUCUGACAUUUGCAUUUGUCAAUCAAUUAGCUAUUUAAUUGUGUAGGGAAUACUGUUGUGCUAUUAACACUCGAGUGAAGAGUCAGUAGAGUAAUUGGUCCAUUCAUUUUGCUCUCUUGGUUCUAUAUUUCCUAGACAUUUUCUGAUGAAAGAGUCUGAUUAAGAUGCAAUGUUUAGAAAGCUUGUGAUUUCAAAUAAACCUG